GACGAACGCUGGCGGCGUGCCUAAUACAUGCAAGUCGAACGCAGUGGGGACGGGUGCGUAACACGUGGGUAACCUCCCAUCAGAGGGGAUAACCCUUGGAAACAGGUGCUUAACUCCUACUGGAGGAUGGACCCGGGGGGCAUUAGCUAGUUGGUGGGGUAACGGCUCACCAAGGCCACGAUGCAUAGCAGACCUGAGAGGGUGAUCGGCCACACUGGGACUGAGACACGGCCCAGACUCCUACGGGAGGCAGCAGUAGGGAAUCUUCGGCAAUGGGCGAAAGUCUGACCGAGCAACGCCGCGUGAGUGAAGAAGGUUUUCGGAUCGUAAAGCUCUGUUGUUAGAGAAGCGGUAUCUAACCAGAAAGCCACGGCUAACUACGUGCCAGCAGCCGCGGUAAUUC
rnacentral:rRNA from 1 species